UACGUAGGGGGGCUAGCGUUGUCCGGAAUCAUUGGGCGUAAAGAGCUCGUAGGCGGUUUGUCGCGUCUGCCGUGAAAGUCCGGGGCUCAACUCCGGAUCUGCGGUGGGUACGGGCAGACUAGAGUGAUGUAGGGGAGACUGGAAUUCCUGGUGUAGCGGUGAAAUGCGCAGAUAUCAGGAGGAACACCGAUGGCGAAGGCAGGUCUCUGGGCAUUAACUGACGCUGAGGAGCGAAAGCAUGGGGAGCGAACAGG
rnacentral:rRNA from 1 species